rnacentral:rRNA from 1 species
CUCCUACGGGAGGCAGCAGUAGGGAAUCUUCCGCAAUGGACGAAAGUCUGACGGAGCAACGCCGCGUGAACGAUGAAGGCCUUCGGGUCGUAAAGUUCUGUUGUCAGGGAAGAACAAGUACCAGAGUAACUGCUGGUACCUUGACGGUACCUAACCAGAAAGCCACGGCUAACUACGUGCCAGCAGCCGCGGUAAUACGUAG